rnacentral:rRNA from 1 species
ACGGGAGGCAGCAGUGGGGAAUAUUGGGCAAUGGGCGAACGCCUGACCCAGCAACGCCGCGUGAAGGAAGAAGGUCUUCGGAUUGUAAACUUCUUUUAUGUAGGACGAAGAAAGUGACGGUACUACAUGAAUAAGCCACGGCUAACUACGUGCCAGCAGCCGCGGUAAUACGUAGGUGGCAAGCGUUAUCCGGAUUUACUGGGUGUAAAGGGCGCGUAGGCGGGGACGCAAGUCAGAUGUGAAAUCCAUGGGCUCAACCCAUGAACUGCAUUUGAAACUGUAUCUCUUGAGUGCUGGAGAGGUAGAUGGAAUUCUUAGUGUAGCGGUGAAAUGCGUAGAUACUGGGAAGAACACCAGUGGCGAAGGGGAUCUACUGGACAGUAACUGACGCUGAGGCGCGAAAGCGUGGGGAGCAAACAGGAUUAGAUACCCUGGUA